GCAGAGCAUCCUACGGGAGGCAGCAGUGGGGAAUAUUGCACAAUGGGCGCAAGCCUGAUGCAGCCAUGCCGCGUGUAUGAAGAAGGCCUUCGGGUUGUAAAGUACUUUCAGCAGUGAGGAAGGUGGAUAUGUUAAUAGCAUACUCAUUUGACGUUAGCUGCAGAAGAAGCACCGGCUAACUCCGUGCCAGCAGCCGCGGUAAUACGGAGGGUGCGAGCGUUAAUCGGAAUUACUGGGCGUAAAGCGCAUGCAGGUGGUUUGUUAAGUCAGAUGUGAAAGCCCGGGGCUCAACCUCGGAAUUGCAUUUGAAACUGGCAAACUAGAGUACUGUAGAGGGGGUAGAAUUUCAGGUGUAGCGGUGAAAAUGCGUAGAGAUCUGAAGGAAUACCGGUGGCGAAGGCGGCCCCCUGGACAGAUACUGACACUCAGAUGCGAAAGCGUGGGGAGCAAACAGGAUUAGAUACCCUGGUAG
rnacentral:rRNA from 1 species